rnacentral:lncRNA from 1 species
AUCUUUUGGCUCAUGUUGCAGUCUCAUGUUUGUAGCAUUAUUUUUGGUUGCAUGAAGCAGGAAGUUUCAGUUACUGAAGAGUUUCUAGACUUUUUGCUCUGGAGACCUUUGGAGUCUAAAGGUGAGUCAGGUGUGAAUUCCAUGGCCUGAUUGCUGCAGGCAUGUUCUUUUCUUUGGGGGUGGGGGGUUGGGGGCUGAGGGAUGACAUUGUUCUUGUGGUGACCUGUUGUUCCUGAAUUUCUGGUUCUGUCUGGAUAUAUGGGGGAUUGUUCUUCCUGUCUGGGAAGUGAUUCCUCAACCCUGCCCUAAGAGCCUGCCGGAGAGAGUUGGCAGACUCCCGUGCCCUGCUGUGAAUCCCACAGGCUUGUGAAGGACAACAGAUGGCCAGGCUAAGCUCGGAGCCACCCCGCUAUGGAAUGAUGAAAAUGGCCAGCCUCCUGGUAAAUGGACAUCAGGACCCAGGCAACUUUGCAUUCUGUAUGAUUUUCAUCUGGAAGAUGGGAAGUUUGCAGAAGAUGUAAUGAAUGAGGCAGUCUGGCUGGAAAAUAGUGACUGAAGAAUUAAGCAACACUCCAAAUUCUAAACUAAAGGGCCAGGGAGUCUUGAACCAUUGCUGAUGAAUAGAAGCUGUGUUUAAGCAAGAUAAAAUUUACAAUGAGUCCCAGAGAGAACCGACUGGUGACUACAGGGAACAAGAACUCAUUGCAUACUUGAAGUUUACUAAAAGAGAGUAAUGGAGCAUGUAUGACCAAAAUAUAUUCAUGUAUGCAGAUAUCAUAAUAUGUUAAUAAAUAAAAUUGAAUCAUAUGGUCUAUAGCCA